rnacentral:lncRNA from 1 species
GAUUGUUGUUCCGUUUGCCAGCUGAUCGAUCGACGUUAGCAAGGCGGUAUUCGUGCAUUAUCCAAUUCGUUUUCACCCCUCGCGGAGCUUUCCCCGCGUAAAACACCAAUGCCUUCUUGAUUCCAACCGCUUUCGGUUUUCCGAUAGGUUUAUCGGCACCGGUAGCCUUCCAAUAACCAGUUCCGGCAGCUCUGUUCGGUCGUGAUCCGUUUGGAUAUUUCCUGUCUCUAGGUGAGAAGAAGUACCACUCCUUUUCUCCAUAUAACGCCAUAUCUGAAGCUGCCAUGGAUCGAACUUAUAAAGAUCAAUUUCAGCAAUAAUCGGAACAGCAAUACUCUGAGACGCACAUUUCCGGCACAAGUAAUGCAUAACCAGCUCAUCAUCCGUCGGAUGAAACCGGAACCCCGGCGGCAACUCCAAACCGCCACACGUCAUCACAAAACCUCAAAUCAAACUCCAAAUCCGUACGGUUAAUCUCCAAAUCCAGAUCUCGUUCUUCCUCACAAACAAAGCUAGGGUUUCCGGCAGUGUUAGAAAGAAGAAGAUCCAGAAGUAUAUAUAACAACAACAGAAAGAGUGAAGGUCGCACGUGUAGGAUUGGUUCGAGGAAGGAGCAGGAGAGAGAAUGGUGCAGUUGCUUGGAGAAGAAGGCUGGCUGGCUGAUUAUGGCGGUUAUUGACUUGUGAUAAAAGGUGAAGGGGCGAAUGAGGAGGUGACACGUGGGGAGGAUGGUGUCACUGCGUUCGUCAUGUGGUUUGGACGGUUGUGGUGAUGGAGAUUAGAGGAGGAAUAGGUGCUACUUUGACCGGUGUCUCAUCAACUGAGGAGGGUGCAUUCGAAAACAAGUGGAUGAGGAGAUGA